rnacentral:lncRNA from 1 species
UUUGCAUUUUGACCCCUAAACUUUUCUAAAAUUACAUUUUGACCCCAAAAUUUCUUAAAAUUACAUUUCAACCCUAAAAUUUUUGAAAUUACAUUUUGACCCCUAAACUUUCUUGAAAUUACAUUUUGACCCCUAAACUUUCUCAAAAUUAUGUUUCAACCCUAAAAGUUUUACUGCCGUUACAUUUUGGUCCCUCUGGCAGUCUCUGACGCAAGUUGCACCUGCAACGCGCGGCGGCCGACCUAGGCCCUCCCUAGCCCCCUGCUACCUGCAAAAAGAAAGAGAAAUCAGCUAUAAAAAGGGGUUUAAACCCCAAAAUCAAAGGGAAAAGGAUUUCAAAAAGAAAAACAAAAAAGAGAGAAAGCUUUGCUAAAAAGAGAGAAAGAAAGAAGAAGGGAGAAAAAGGAAGAGACGGCGGCGGCACCGUGGCGUCGGCGACAGCAAGCAACGGUGGAGGCUAGACUUUGAAGAAGAAGAAGAAGGAAGAAG